rnacentral:rRNA from 1 species
AUACGGAGGAUCCGAGCGUUAUCCGGAUUUAUUGGGUUUAAAGGGAGCGUAGGUGGACAGUUAAGUCAGUUGUGAAAGUUUGCGGCUCAACCGUAAAAUUGCAGUUGAUACUGGCUGGCUUGAGUACAGUAGAGGUGGGCGGAAUUUGUGGGGUAGGGGUGAAAUGCUUAGAUAUCACGAAGAACUCCGAUUGCGAAGGCAGCUCACUAGACUGUUACUGACACUGAUGCUCGAAAGUGUGGGUAUCAAACAGGAUUAGAUACCCUGGUAGUCCACACAGUAAACGAUGAAUACUCGCUGUUUGCGAUAUACAGUAAGCGGCCAAGCGAAAGCAUUAAGUAUUCCACCUGGGGAGUACGCCGGCAACGGUGAAACUCAAAUGAAUUGGCGGGG